AAACCAUGGUGAGGGCAUUUCCUCAAAAGGUCCUUAAACCUUUUAUUGGCAUCGAAGAGUAUCUCUAAAUCACCUUGCCCGAAAGCAGAAAUCUCUUAUCUCAAUCU